AUAAUCUGUUAUUAUAAUUAAAUCUGCAUAGUUUAAAGGUAACACACUUUUGACAUACCUCAGGAGUUGUAAAUAGAUAUCCUGUGUUUUACCCGUGAGGAUAGCAUGAACUAGGGGGAAGCUCUAAAAAACAAAACUAGACAUGGAAAGAAAAUAUCUGAUAAGCAUCAUUAUCCAAAAAUUUUGGUACCGUUUUGAAUGUACCAUCACAACCAGCUACACGAACCUAUAAAUUAUAAACUGAAUUGUACACAAAGACACCUUUAAUAAUUCCAUUUACUACCAACGGGCCUUGAUAAAAUCUAUACAAAAAUUAUUAUUAAGUAGAUCAAAUCAUGGAAAUCUGAAAUAUUUUGAGGUGUGGCUGGGAACAUUCCUUGUCGCAAUCGCCUCAUUCUUUCUGCACACUGAAUGAAGGUGUAGUUAUUUGCAGCUUCUGGAAAACUUUAGUAAAAAAAAUAAGAUUCAAACAUUAUAUCAGAAGUACAAAAAUAAAUAUGAUACCAACUUUACAAUUGAUUCCAUGUAUAUACCACGAGGAACAUAUGAAUUUACAGUUUUCGUUAAAGCCUUUUCUGUUAUGUGUUCUCGAAGAAAUGGAACAUCUAAGUCAAACGGUUUUACUAGAUG